UCCAUUGAUGAGAUGGCUUUUCGUAUUUCUAUGUCACACGGUGUUUUAGCUGGUCCCUCGGAAGCAAAUGACAGUCACACUGGAGCUCCCCGGCUGGGGUUUCUGAGUCACGGAACCCUGUCAGCUUUGAAGAAGGGGUGACUCAUGACCCUCAAGGAUACAGCUUGUGUCAGAUUUCCUGAAAAAUCAAUGGAACGAAUGAGGAUUUGCUGGAGAGAGACUGAAGAUUGGUGAGAAAGUCUAGGAUUAGGGAGACUGCUAGAAGCGUGGGGUUUUGGCCUGAAGUUCGGAGCAGUCAUUUAGCCUUUGGUCACUGCGGGGUAGGUCGGGGCGGGAGUUAUUUGUGAAGAGUUCUGGGUGAUUAUGGAACACAGUGGCCCAGAAGCUGCAGCUGAGACCCAGAAAUACCACCGUUCCUGGUCCAGCCCGAGGCCCCUGGGCUCUGGGGUGACAAACAUCAGGAGAGGGUUACCAGUCAAACAAGUCGUUUAACAGCUCAGAAGCAGCGUGAUAUCAACUUUCCAGAUUUAGAAUCUUCCUGCAGCCUCCAGCCCCGGCCAGGGUCUUUCCAGUCCAGACUCUCCAUUCCUGUAUCCCGCAUGUGGAAGACACAAAGCCUGGCUGUAAAUCAUCCUUGUGGACGUGGGCACCUGGAAACCAUGGAGACGUCUAGGCACUGCUGAGAAGGGUCACUUCCCACUCCCCCGAUGGCCCCCCGGGGGCUCUUUCAUCCCCUGGAGCUGGCCUGCAUGACGGGCUUAAGGGAUGCUCCUCCAGGCAUCCUGCUCACAGGAGCAGGGUGGUACCCAGAAGAAAGGAAAGAUGGAGGGGGCAGCUGAUCAGUGAUUCCCAAACUGGGUGAAACCAGCAUCAUCCGGGAGCUUAUUUACCGGGCAGAUUACUGGAGCCACUUCCAAGCUAUGCUAACGUGUCAUUUCCAGAAGUGGACCCCAGCAAGGGUAUUUCCAAGCAACUCCCCAAGGGAGAGUGAGAAAACACUAACCCAUCUUGAGGUUUCUCUGUGGUUUAACCCAGC
rnacentral:lncRNA from 9 species